CAGGCAGGCAAGCAAGCAGGGAGCGCGGAAAGGAUGUGAACUCAAAACUCCUAAGCUCUGUACCAGAACCCUCUGUCAGAAAUACAGGACAGGUAAAGUCAGAAAGACAGGAACUUCCUGCAACAUGAUGUCACCUUCCGUACUUGACUGGAUUCAAUGCUGAUGACAAACCCCACAAGUCAUUUAAAAAACAAAAAGAGAGAAAAAUGGUUUAUGCAAGGGGUCUAUAGCAGAACUUCCAAGCUGACCGGCACUCUCCUUCCCGAAGCAUGGUCUGACUUAUAAUUGGUGCUUGCCGCUAUGUGGCUAGGAGAAUAGCAGCAUCGCUGCGCAACGAGGAUCUGGGGGAGCCUGUGUUGGCGUGCAAGAAUGGGGUGUGCCCGCUGGGCAAGCAAAAAAGCACAAUGCCGCCAUCUACUAGUUCCCCUGUCAGCCAAGGGGCAACCCCCCCUGCUGCCACAACAGAAGUUGGGAUCCAUAAGCCACAUUCUUGAUGGAAUAAAAUGAGGGAUGGCAGGAGGAGAAUGACGGUCCGUUUGACAACUCCUGUGCACGCAGGAAUCGAACGGACCUGAGCAUCCUUUAGCCUCCCCUCCACCUCACCGUUCUAAAUCUGCUUAAAUAAAAAAAGCACUUUGCGUGCUCUACUACACCAA